AUUAAAUGGUAAACCCUUAAUAAUGCAUGUGGACCGACGAUUUCGGCUUAUGCCUCGCAUCUUCGCCCACGAAAUGUCGGAUCGGAUCAUUAACAUCGCGUUACGACGCGAUGCAAUUAACCGAUAUACUUCACACGAGGUCUUGAGGUUCCACGUUGCGUAAAUCUAAAAUCCCCGCAGAGAAAGUUUAUUGCGAGAGUUAAUUAGGAUCCAGUCUGAUUCUCCAAAAUAAUUAUGGGUUUUGGUUAGAAACAUUACGUUUAUAUGCAAAACCCAAAAUUUUCCCAAUAUUUUUUUCUGGUCUGCAUUUUACGUUAGAAUUGAAUAAAACAUGUAUUGACUUUCUAAAUAAUUUUACUAAUCAAUAAAAUAUUCGAGGCGUUAGCUGUUUAUUUGGUAAUAUUACUUCCAAGCAACAUCGAUUUCUCAUGAGCUAUACGGGGUAUCCCAGAAUAACUUCCGAAGCUCUCGUGAAGGUAUAAUACGGAUUAAGGUAAACGUAAAAGUGUUAUACCAUUUUGCGAUGUUCGCAAUAAUUAUCGAGAUGUUAAGGAAGAUUUGUAAAUGGUCACACGAGAUAUGAUAGAUGAGCUGCAGUAGCGACAUCUGCCGACGUGUGCUUGUACAUUAGAUCAAAUUAAACAAAAAAAGUCCUCUACCUUAUUCCUAAUAAUUUUGUAGACUUUUAGUUAUUAAUCAGAUAGCAUUAAUAUAUUAUCGCGAGCAACCAUACGCCAAUCUUCUUCAAUUAAUAAUUCUACAUUUACGAAGUUCUGAGGAAAAUCGUACAGGACUUUCUCGUUCAGUUUAACCUAAUGUACACGAUGGCAGACAUCGCCACUACAGUGCAACAUUUCCACGUCCACACUCUACUUAUCGGAGGUGAUCUCUAUCGGGAAAUGAGAAUUUUGCACGUGCGAUCGCAACGGUGAAAUAAUCGUGUAACGCACCUCUCUCUAAUCUUUAUAAUAUACCUCUCACGGGUGUGGCUCUACAUCCUUUGCUCGUCGCAAAAAGAGACGAAGGAAGGAAACGACUGUCUCUAGCAAGAACUACUCCUUCUCGCCAGCUCCGUCUCCUAUCGUUCAUUCUACCGCGAAACGCUCCGCUACUUACGUCGAAGGCGCGGCGGCCGAACCUUUGACCCAUUUUUCUAUCGAUCUCGCCUGGUUCCGCAUCUAGGGCAUCUCGAUGGCCCCGGCCCCGGCCGUCGAGAUUUCCGCCACUCCCAGAACGCUGAGACCUCGUGCUGACCUCGUGCUCUAUCGCACCUAUGCUUAGGGAUACCUGUGCUAACCGGCAGCCGAUCGAUAGAAAAAUGGCCGUAACGUCAGUUUGUACGUGAUACAAUCGGUGAAAGAUGCCUCUCCAAAUAACAACAAAAGUAUUCAAAUUGAACAUGCAAAUUGUUUUCCGAAUUGGUCAUCCGAAUUGCUUAUUUAUGAUACUUAUGAAAUAAGCAGCUCCGGUUAUCACAUGAUGGAUUAAUUGCGUGAAACGGGUCUUCCGCGAUCAACCACGUUCCGACAAAGCGUGCGUAGGGGAGAGUGUUUUGUGUAAGCGAGAAAGAGAAAGAGAGAGAGGGAGAGGGGAGAGUGAGGGAGGAAGAGAAGGGCGGGGAGGGAUGGAAGGAGGAAAGAGGACAAAAGAGUGAGAGGGAGUACGCGCGAGAGAGAGCGAGAGAGAGAGAGAGAGGGAGAGAGAGAGAUUAUCAUAGUGUUACGUAACACUCUCAGAUCGGCCCACCGAGCAUUGAACGGAACGAUAAUUAACUGUUCGGCGAUGAGAAACAGAGACCAAUGCAACGAGUCUUGUUAAACGCUGUAACAUUGUAACUUGUAUCACUAUGCGAAAGGGAUCCGUGCUCUCUCAAUUCUCUUUUGUUCGUCUUUAAACGUAUUUUCGACACCAGUCACUCGCGCCAUCGGCCUGCCUGUUGUGAAAGCGUAGGCAAAGCGUGAUCGAUCGUAACGCUUCCGAUACAUGUAAUCUUUCGAGCUCGAAAUCUAUCCUUCCAAUACGUGUAACAGAUAUUCGCCGCUCUACCAGCGAUGUUAAGCGUAAUGUUCGUUACGUGGUUCGAUCGAAAGGGUUAAGCGUGUGGCGGUCUGCCCCGCGGUAGCGCUCAGUCGAUUAACCAGCCCGACGCGGCGCUGCGGAAGGCUCCGAGCAGCGGGGUCAGAGGGGUUAGAGGGCACGAGGGGCGAGGAGAGGAAGGGAUUAGGCCGCUCUGUAAAACGUCGGGACUCGGCUCGCCGGCCGUCCUAUUUCUGCGCUCGGGAAAGUUCGUACACCGGAGCGAUCGCGCACGAAGUGACGAGGAUAUAAGUAGGUCGUUCGUAGCCGCACGUGUCGUCCUUGACUCACAUAGAGCGGCGCGCAGGCGCUCGCCGUUGCCGCAUUGCCGGUCGCUAGGGCUCUUUCUUUGUUCGCCACCGCGCGCUUGUGCGCGUGAAGCACUGGCUGUUCACGAAGAGGUCUCAACGAAUACGAGCGAGCCCGUCCGCAAAAGACCGAGAGGAAAGGGAAUCACAUAAAAAUACGAUGUCUAUCGGCGAUUUGGCGCCGUUAAAAAUCCCCACAGUAUCGCGCGCGUUGUCGUCUCUCGAAAUGAACCGGGGCUACUCGCUCUGCUUUCCUUCUCUUUUGUUUUUCCUUUUUCCUCCUCCUCCUAUGGAGGCUGCACUUUCCGUUUAAUCGAGAAGCCAGCAAUAACAGUCGCGUCCCGCGGCUUGUCAUUGCCGCCAUUAAUCAUUCCACGCGCCUGACAGCUCGUAUCCUACCGCCCCACGUUUCGUUUUCCCUUGCUCUAUCGAUGUGUGCGAAGACGAGGACGCGAUGACUGUGACGAGGCUGGAGUAUUGAUCAAACAGUAUUCUAGCUUCUCUAUAUCGCGUCACGGCACAACACAAUGCACCGGAGGGAGAAGAUAGACGACGGAAGAUUCAAGGGGUGUUACGUGUCUAAUAAAGGCGGAUGAAUGGAAUCACAGGUGAAAUGAGUGCUUUCUCUCUCUCUCUCUUCCUAAAUCGGUAUUUCUCCUUUGUCUACGAUAUUUAUGUGUCUGGCAGUUGACCCGAGCUAGACACUAUCGAAACUCUCUUUUAAUUAAAACUUUAAACUAAUAUCGUUAAACAAUGCUAGUAUUGUAUAUGUUAACUCUGGCAGCUACUUGUAUAUAGAUAGCGUAAGCUUAUAUAUCUUCCAAACGUAUUCUUUCUCUCUCUCUCUCUCUUUCUUUAAAAAUUUUAUUAAAAUUUAAACUUUAUUUAUUUAUUUUUUCAAACAAGGAUGUAAACCCAGGUUAAUCGACGUAGAAACAUGCAUUCAGCUUGAUUUAAAAUGUGCUCUUUAUUUUCUGUUUCUUGUUCUCUGUAUUUUUCUGUCUUGAGAUUUAAGAUUUAAGGUUCUAAGAUCUAAGAUUUAAGAUUCAGGAGAAGAUAAAGAGAAAGAAACAGGAAACAAAGAACACAUGAAAAUGAAGCUUUAAAUGAGAAAAAGAUAGAGAAUAACAAGCAAAGAGCACAUUAUAGAUUAGGUUGUAGAAGUUAACGGUCAGAGUUACAAAGAAAUUUAAAAAAGAAAUUUAGAGAUUUAAUUUUUGAUAAAUAAUUUAAUUUCUAAGAAACUUUACUCAAAAAGUAGAAUGAACACCGAGUCAUUCAAAUUCGAGUGACUUUUCAAUAUAAUGCGAAUUCUCCACUCUGAAUGACGUCGAGUGAAUGUUUUCACUCAAAAUUGAAGAGUGCAUCUGAUGUACUUCACUGUCACAGAAGCAUAUUCGUUCCAACCGAUCGAAAUAUUCGAUCGGUUGGAACUAUAUGAAUCGUUCUGAUUCAUAUGGAAUCAGAAUUCACUUUAAGCUUAAGUGAAACAUUCACUUUUUCGAGUGGCAACAUUUUCGAGUAAAAAUGCUGCCAUUUUUCACUGGUUUUUGAGAUUCUAGCCUAAGAAAUUUAGAGAAUAAAAAUACGAUAUAUAUACCAUAAAAAGAUGCGACCAGUCUCUUUAGGUUUCCUCACUUCGCAACAUUCGCUUGAUCUCCACCUCUGUCUCGUUUCCUUCAGCUCUCUCGAUACACACACACAACAGUCGUGGCCGAGUGAGACCGCGUAAUUAAUCAGUCUACACAAGCACGUUUGUAGCCGCUGCAUAAUGCCGCGUAACGUUAUGACGGUGUGGGACGACGCGAGGUAACCGCGGGCGAUGUGGCGCGAUAGUUUGUCCCUGUCGGCAGCUUUGCUCUAGGAACGCUCUAGAUCUCCGGCCAGAGGAUAGCAGCAGCAGCAGCAGCAGGAGGAUGAGGAGGAUGAGUAGGAGGAAGAGGAGGCAGUGGAUGUGGAAGAGCGGCAAGAGAGGCAAGGGGUAACGGCGAGGGGAUGAGGUCAACGGUGGCGGCUCAAUACGAGCUCUGACCCAUUUGGCAGCGAUCCCGAAACCGGCAGCGAAGCUUCUGCCGUAUACGGGCGAGGAUUUCAUUUUUUGGAUUUCCCGCAGGAACAAUAGCGACGCGACUUCCACGGGUCAGAGGUGACCUCGGUCAGUGCGACACGCUGAUGCGCGAGGUUCUCUCUCUCUUUCUCUCUUAGAAGAAACCUCAGGGAGGACUUUGCGCAUUUUCGGUCACAUCUUCAAAUAGAGGGUACGGUAUCGAAAUU